UCCCUGAUGGUUUAGUGGUCAAGACUCCACACUUCCUGUGUAGCAGGUAUGAGUUCGAUCCCUAGUCAGGGAA
rnacentral:tRNA from 1 species